rnacentral:rRNA from 1 species
UACGUAGGGUGCAAGCGUUUAAUCGGAAUUACUGGGCGUAAAGCGUGCGCAGGCGGUUUUGUAAGUUUGUCGUGAAAGCCCCGGGCUCAACCUGGGAAUUGCGAUGAAGACUGCAAGGCUUGAAUCUGGCAGAGGGGGGGUAGAAUUCCACGUGUAGCAGUGAAAUGCGUAGAGAUGUGGAGGAACACCGAUGGCGAAGGCAGCCCCCUGGGUCAAGAUUGACGCUCAUGCACGAAAGCGUGGGGAGCAAACAGG